GAACGGGUGAGUAACAUUUAGGAAUCUACCUUUUAGUGGGGGAUAGCUCGGGGAAACUCGAAUUAAUACCGCAUACGACCUACGGGUGAAAGGGGGCGCGAGCUCUUGCUAGGAGAUGAGCCUAAAUCAGAUUAGCUAGUUGGUGGGGUAAAGGCUUACCAAGGCGACGAUCUGUAACUGGUCUGAGAGGAUGAUCAGUCACACCGGAACUGAGACACGGUCCGGACUCCUACGGGAGGCAGCAGUGGGGAAUAUUGGACAAUGGGGGGAACCCUGAUCCAGCCAUGCCGCGUGUGUGAAGAAGGCCUUUUGGUUGUAAAGCACUUUAAGCAGGGAGGAGAGGCUAAUGGUUAAUACCCAUUAGACGAGACGUUACCUGCAGAAUAAGCACCGGCUAACUCUGUGCCAGCAGCCGCGGUAAUACAGAGGGUGCGAGCGUUAAUCGGAAUUACUGGGCGUAAAGCGAGUGUAGGUGGCUCAUUAAGUCACAUGUGAAAUCCCCGGGCUCAACCUGGGAACUGCAUGUGAUACUGGUGGUGCUAGAAUAUGUGAGAGGGAAGUAGAAUUCCAGGUGUAGCGGUGAAAUGCGUAAAGAUCUGGAGGAAUACCGAUGGCGAAGGCAGCUUCCUGGCAUAAUAUUGACACUGAGAUUCGAAAGCGUGGGUAGCAAACAGGAUUAGAUACCCUGGUAGUCCACGCCGUAAACGAUGUCUACUAGCCGUUGGGGUCCUUGAGACUUUAGUGGCGCAG
rnacentral:rRNA from 1 species